rnacentral:rRNA from 1 species
AAACUAACAAGGAUUCCCCUAGUAACGGCGAGCGAAGCGGGAAGAGCUCAAAUUUGAAAGCUGGCACCUCCGGUGUCCGCGUUGUAAUCUCGAGACGUGUUUUCCGUGUGGCGCUAUGGACAAGUCCCUUGGAACAGGGCAUCGUAGAGGGUGAAAAUCCCGUACUUGCCAUGGAUGUACCAUGCUUUGUGAUACACGCUCUAAGAGUCGAGUUGUUUGGGAUUGCAGCUCAAAAUGGGUGGUAGACUCCAUCUAAAGCUAAAUAUCGGGGAGAGACCGAUAGCGAACAAGUACCGUGAGGGAAAGAUGAAAAGCACUUUGGAAAGAGAGUUAAAAGUACGUGAAAUUGUCGAAAGGGAAGCGCUUGAAGUCAGCCAUGCUGCUUGAGACUCAGCCUUGCUUUUGCUUGGUGUAUUUCUCGGUAGCAAGCCAGCAUUGGUUUGAGUCGUCGGAGAAGGGUACGAGAAAUGUGGCAUCCUCGGAUGUGUUAUAGGCUUGUACUGGAUACGACGAUUUGGAUCAAGGAACGCAGUGUGCCUCUGGCGGGUCUUCGGACACCUUCACACUUAGGAUGCUGGCGUAAUGGCUUUAAGCGG